UUCCCCCCCACCAACUUGCACACAGGAGCAGUGGCAGGGCAAGGGUUAAGGCCCCCCAGGAAGAACAGCCAGCCGUGUGCAUGGGGGGGACAGGAGAGUCCAGGCGUCGCCACCCGAUUCUCCACCUCAUUAACUCCCUGAGUCCUCUGGCACCAGCCUGUCUGUCCCAUGUGAUGGGAACGCUGGGAGGAGGCGUCGGCAUCAGAGAGACCCCCCCACAGGGCGCUCUGCUCCCCCUUUUUCGGUCUGGACUUGGGACAAAGUUUCAGUCCAGCACUGAGCAAGCUGGAGAAGCAACACUCAGAGCUGACCGGAUUCAGGCUACGAGAGCAAAAAGAAUUCAGAGGAAGCCUCAAAGAAUACGCUUCCGCACAAUGGGAAAGUAUCCUCCACUUUUACGGCGAAUCGGCCACGGCUACGAAGGGUGAACGCCACAGGCGACAAAGGAUGGGCGGAAUGGACCCCGACCUGAAAUUCUGAAUAUGGACCGUUCCGUUGGAGGCAGAGAAAUGGGAGGUGCAAAGUUGGAUGUGCAGUUUCCUCUCUUUGCCCCAGAUGACGGGCCUUGGGAACCCGACGCCUCAUUCGAGCAUCUUUUAGCCAUGCCACACAGAGGACUCACAGGCUGCGAUCUCUGUGACGAGAGGAACACUUUGGGGUUGAUCCAAGUUUGUUGGAUGUUGGGAUCAUUUCCCGGCGAGGAGGAUGGGAUGGGAAGCUUGGAGGACCAAGCUGGAGAGGAUGAGCUUGGUGCUCAAGGGGCAGAACUGCCGGAAGAGGCUUGAAUUGCAGCCCUGCAAGCCAAUUUGGGAACAGGGCUGUUUUCACCUGAACUGGGUGGCGCACUGCACCCUUCCUAAAUCACCACCAGCGAUUUGAACGUGCCUUUGCCAUUGCUCCUGGCACCUGUGGAAUACAAAGGCUCAGAGGGUUCGCAAUCCCACAUGCCCGGGAGACUGGGUUUUGACUUUUCCAUGGGGCUCAGCCCCUUCUUGGAUGCCAAAAGCUGGGGAGCUGAAAUCUCGUGAAAGUUGGACGGGUGGAACGAGGCGCCAGAACUUCGAAGAAAGAAAUCCUGAGGAACGCCGACUUAGGGACGUUUCUGGGUGCAUGCAGGACCACGGAGUGCUGCUCCAACCUGGAAGUGCAUGGGAAAGAGAGUGUGCACACGUGUAUGGGCACGCACUCUCCCUCCCACAGGCCCGCAGUACAAUCGGCGCUGGAGACACCGGCCCGAGGCGCGGCUACGGAAGAGUCCAGGGUUUGCUCUGAAAGCCGACGUCCUGAUUCCGAUGUAGGACAGUCGCCUCAUGCUCCUGUCCCACCGCAGAAGGCUUGUCAUGUCUGGAUGCUCCCGCGUGCUAGAGAAAUCGUCACGCUUAUGGAAAUCUAACAUGCUUUUACCCAGAGGUUUCCAGAGAAGAAGUCGUGGAAAGUCAUAGAAUAGAAUCGGAUGGUAGUGGGUUUGAAAUAAGAAUAAGAAUAAAAAGAUGGAUUUCUGCAAGCCAGACCAUACUAUGUGCUGGAGGCAUAUAACCUUCCAUAUAUUUUUAGGCGCUUUACGAUCACUGGGAGGAGGGCCUGCGACGAGUGACUGACAGGCAUGUGAGGAUCUCCCCUUCCUUUCGUGGGGCUGGAAAAUGUAGGAUAACGUCUUGGCGCUUUUCCUUCAUGUAACAUGCCAAGUGCUCCAGGAAAUUCUGCCGCGUUUGCAGCCUCCUCCUGGCUGUGGGGUAUGAGCUGUCGCCUAUGAAGGGAAUAGGAGAUGUCGCAGAGCAUUCUGGAGGGUCCCGUUAACAUUUCAGCACCUCGGACGUCAAGAUCUCAAGCGACAAGUGCCGGGCGAAGCGCCUGCCUGCCCCCCUCCCCGCCAAACUCCUUGCAAGGUCUCGGAAGGGGCUUCUGAGGAAAAGUGACCCGGUGGCAGCCGCCGGCUCUCUCCUGAGCCACACUUUGGGUUCCCAGAAGCUCACAUGCUGCGCGCAGACUUCCUAAUGGCGCUGGGAUUCAGGGAGUCUCAUCUAUCCGUAGGUGAGAGGAUGGGGGACGAGACCGGGGGGGAGACGGCCUACAUGUUGCGUCUCUGAACUGCAUUAGUGGCUCCCGGAGGUCCAUGAAGGGACGGAGCCCGUGGCUCUGCGGUGCAAAGUUGCAAUCCAGGGAGCCAAGGUGUUUGGAACUUUUCAGUUGAAAGAACAAGAGGAAACAAAACAAAACUUAGACAUGGCAUGCAGAGAGCAGCACUGCUCAUCCAGUGCUGAGUGAAUGCUGAGUGUGUGGCAAUGUUCACGGAGCCAGGAGAGGAUAUAUUGUUUAUUAAUAUCCUUCCUAACUUGCGCAUCUUAAAUAGCAGAGACAUCACCUUGCAAA